rnacentral:pre_miRNA from 1 species
AGCCGUUCAAUGACGCGCGCUAAGCAGGAACCGAGACUUGGAAACACGUUCUGCUAACAGUCAGGUACCUGAAGUAGCGCGCGUUAUUCGGUUCC